CUUCUCCAUCACUGCCUGCCAAGGUAAGGUUGGAAAAGCACAACACUCAAGUUUCAGAGUGCAAGAAUCGGGCAGUUAUCCCAUUACACCUCCGAUAUUAUCGACUUCUACAGUAUAAUUAUUUUCAGGCAAUAAUUCUCACUGAACCGCGAUGUGGCAAACUCGUCUUGCCACGGCAUCACUGCUUCUGGUCGUUGCGCACGCACUGAAUUGCCCUGAGAAUUACCAUGAAAUCGGGAGCGGCUGCGUGCUCGCCCCUGCCGAGCGGUUGCCCGCGCUUGAGGCUCAGAGCCUCUGUCAUGACCUGCAAGGAGAACUCGCCACCCUAGACCGCUGCGACAUUUUCACGGACGCUGUGCACUACCUUGAAGAAACAGGUGCGAUGUACAACAGUUACUGGAUCAGAGGAACGUACUCAGUGACCCGAGAUGAAUGGCAGUGGAGGGACGGUUCUGUUGUAGCCAUGGGGGCACCCUUCUGGGGAACGGCUGAUGGAGGCACAUGGGAGCCUUUUGGGGGUGAACGCACUGGGAUUUUCAAUGGAGACAAUCCCUACAUGGGGGCGUAUUAUUGCUCAUAUGAAGCUCAUCACAUCUGUGAAGGGCCAUCAAGUGCAGAGGGUGAUUGCAACCCCCCUUUCACGGCGGUAGGAAGUCAGUGCCUGAGCUUUGAAAGCUCAGCCAGGCAGUCAUGGGAGGCAUCAAGAAAUAUCUGCCAGGCGGAUGGUGGCGAUCUGGUCACAUUCGAUGAUUGCGAGCAGUUCGGAGUAGUGGCUAAUUACAUCCUCGAGCAAGAUAUGCAGCACUUAGAUUUUUACUGGGUUGGUGGCUACCUGGUAGACGGGACGAACGAUUGGUUUUGGCACGACAAUUCCUCGAUUCCUAUGGGACUUCCUUAUUGGGGUCAGUUUAACCCCGCUGGAAAAUUGCUCCCCGACAACUCAACAGUCGAGCGGUGUCUGGAACUCGGUUAUGAAUAUCGGCAUCGGUUCAACGAUCUUGACUGCCUAGAGUUGCGCCAUCCGCUCUGCAAGGCAUCGCCACUUGAAUGACAACUUCGUGGCAUGAAUCACAUUUUCAUGGCACAAUCAUACUUUUCAAGAUGAGCUCGUAAUCGGGCGUAUCGUUGUUGGGGUCAGUUCAAGAAAUAAAAGAAAUAAACAAUACAAUAAAUUGUCUGAAAAA
rnacentral:misc_RNA from 1 species